AACAUUUUCAGGAAAAGUAUUCAAGCCAAGGAUACACACUAAAAUUAAAAUUCAACCUAUUCUAGGAAUUUAAAAUGCAAAGAGUAAAAGAAGAAAUCUAAGUUGCCUCCUAGUAGCGCUUGUUUAACAUCACGAGCCUGACCAAAACCUGUUUAGCACUUGUCAGUAAGUACAAUACCUCCCAUCACCCAUCAGUGGGUGUGCCUUCCUGAAAUCCUUCAGUGGAUUCAAAAGUUUUCUAGCAUCCCUCAAUAGAUGUUAUCAUUAUUGCCAUCAGAAGCAGCGCAUAACCC
rnacentral:lncRNA from 1 species